UUAUGAUCCGCGCCUAACGAAAUUCCGGAUGGGCAUUCCGGCCGCCGAUCCGUCGGACAGCG
rnacentral:ncRNA from 1 species